rnacentral:rRNA from 2 species
CGGGUGAGUAACACGUGGGUAACCUGCCCAUCAGAAGGGGAUAACACUUGGAAACAGGUGCUAAUACCGUAUAACAAUCGAAACCGCAUGGUUUUGAUUUGAAAGGCGCUUUCGGGUGUCGCUGAUGGAUGGACCCGCGGUGCAUUAGCUAGUUGGUGAGGUAACGGCUCACCAAGGCCACGAUGCAUAGCCGACCUGAGAGGGUGAUCGGCCACAUUGGGACUGAGACACGGCCCAAACUCCUACGGGAGGCAGCAGUAGGGAAUCUUCGGCAAUGGACGAAAGUCUGACCGAGCAACGCCGCGUGAGUGAAGAAGGUUUUCGGAUCGUAAAACUCUGUUGUUAGAGAAGAACAAGGAUGAGAGUAACUGUUCAUCCCUUGACGGUAUCUAACCAGAAAGCCACGGCUAACUACGUGCCAGCAGCCGCGGUAAUACGUAGGUGGCAAGCGUUGUCCGGAUUUAUUGGGCGUAAAGCGAGCGCAGGCGG